rnacentral:lncRNA from 1 species
GAACAUGAUAACGUGACUCACCCUGUGAAAUCAAGAGGAGCAGCGAGCAGCCUCGGAGCCACCCAGAGCAGGGUUGUGGGCUCCUCGAGGGCAGUGUGGUAUUCAUGGACCUCUAUGAGUGACGGCCCUGCCUGGCAAAGCCUAUGAGUGGUGUGAACUGUCAGACCCUCCCGAGUCCUCACUAGGCUUUUGAGGGGCAGGAGUGGCUUCAUUUUCAAGGCCCUGUCUGAGCCAGGGAGCUGAAGGGAGGCAGGACAAAGCUUUGAGCAUCACCAGGUCCCCUCCCCCUGCCUGUCACACACUAGGGUACAGAGCAGAUCUUACUGAAAGUUCUACUUCCCUUCCCUAUCUCCAGGGCAACUGGGCCCAAGCAGUUCUCUGGGCCUCCUUGGGGCUUGUAGGGUGGGAGGGGGGCUUGGGCUCUCCAUACUUGGCCUGUUUGCUGAGGCUUCACCCCCUAGAUUAGCUCUAAAUGAGAACAGCGCAAUGACCAUCUUCCUUCUGAGGCUGACUGCAGCGUGGGGGCAGAAACAGGACACCCUGAGGGACGUGUGGCUCAGCGGUAGGAUUAGCUUGGGCAGCCUGCUGGGCUGUGGCCCAGUCCUCAGCUUUGGCAGGCCAGGUCAGAAGCACCCCAAGCCCCAACUUCCUGCAUCUUCAGAGCCACACAGAGCUGAAUCUUUGUUGC